rnacentral:rRNA from 1 species
AGCGUAGGCGGACAUUUAAGUCAGGGGUGAAAUCCCGAGGCUCAACCUCGGAACUGCCUUUGAUACUGGGUGUCUUGAGUGUGAGAGAGGUGAGUGGAACUCCGAGUGUAGAGGUGAAAUUCGUAGAUAUUCGGAAGAACACCAGUGGCGAAGGCGACUCACUGGCUCAUUACUGACGCUGAGGCUCGAAAGCGUGGGGAGCAAACAGGAUUAGAUACCCUGGUA